rnacentral:rRNA from 1 species
AUUGAACGCUGGCGGCAGGCCUAACACAUGCAAGUCGAGCGGAUGAAGGGAGCUUGCUCCUGGAUUCAGCGGCGGACGGGUGAGUAAUGCCUAGGAAUCUGCCUGGUCGUGGGGGAUAACGUCCGGAAACGGGCGCUAAUACCGCAUACGUCCUGAGGUAGAAAGUGGGGGAUCUUCGGACCUCACGCUAUUAGAUGAGCCUAGGUCGGAUUAGCUAGUUGGUGGGGUAAAGGCCUACCAAGGCGACGAUCCGUAACUGGUCUGAGAGGAUGAUCAGUCACACUGGAACUGAGACACGGUCCAGACUCCUACGGGAGGCAGCAGUGGGGAAUAUUGGACAAUGGGCGAAAGCCUGAUCCAGCCAUGCCGCGUGUGUGAAGAAGGUCUUCGGAUUGUAAAGCACUUUAAGUUGGGAGGAAGGGCAGUAAGUGAAUACCUGGCUGUUUUGACGGUACCAACAGAAUAAGCACCGGCUAACUUCGUG